rnacentral:rRNA from 1 species
CCUACGGGUGGCAGCAGUCGAGAAUCAUUCACAAUGGGGGAAACCCUGAUGGUGCGACGCCGCGUGGGGGAAUGAAGGUCUUCGGAUUGUAAACCUCUGUCAUGUGGGAGCAAAUUAAAAAGAUAGUACCACUAGAGGAAGAGACGGCUAACUCUGUGCCAGCAGCCGCGGUAAUACAGAGGUCUCAAGCGUUGUUCGGAAUCACUGGGCGUAAGGGGUGCGUAGGCUGUUGCGUAAGUCGGGUGUGAAAGGCGCGGGCUCAACCUGCGGAGGGCACAUGAUACUGUGAGACUAGAGUUAUGGAGAGGGAGCCGGAAUUCGCGGUGUAGCAGUGAAAUGCGUAGAUAUCGAGAAGAACACUCGUGGCGAAGGCAGGUUCCUGGACAUUAACUGACGCUGAGGCACGAAGGCCAGGGGAGCGAAAGGGAUUAGAUACCCUAGUAGUC